UCAAACUUGACUUGUAGAGCCAAUAAAAGCCCCUUGGGAAGACAGAACUCAUACCUUGUCUACACAAUCCCUGUGCAGUGUUCCGGGUCUGAUACCCCAGUGCCAACCCAACACCUUAAUAAAUGUCUGAUGAAUGAACAAAUGAUUGAAUGAAAACCCUUUGGAAAUUCAGAUAUUGCUAUUCAACUCUAAGAGUGAAGACUGAGACUUAGCAGGAUGUGGAUGACCAAAAUAACACCUGCCCUACCAAAGUCUCAGAGCAGCAGUGGGAAUCACGUGACACAGUCAUUCACUCAGCAAGUGUGUGUGGAGUGCCCAUGACAUGCCAGGCCCUCUUCCAGCAGCCAGAGAU